rnacentral:rRNA from 1 species
CCCCGAAAUAGCUUUAGGGCUAGCCUCAAGGUGAGAGAUACGGAGGUAGAGCACUGAAUGUCCUAGGGGGUAUUGCACCUACCGAAGACUAUCAAACUCCGAAUGCCGUCAUCUUAUACUUGGGAGUCAGACUGUGGGUGAUAAGAUUCAUAGUCGAAAGGGCAACAGCCCAGAUCGUCAGCUAAGGUCCCUAAAUGUAAGUUAAGUGGUAAAGGAUGUGGGAUUGCACAGACAACCAGGAUGUUGGCUUAGAAGCAGCCACUCAUUCAAAGAGUGCGUAAUAGCUCACUGGUCGAGUGAUCCUGCGCCGAAGAUUUCCGGGGCUAAAACUUACUACCGAAGCUACGGCAUCAGUAAUGAUGGGUAGGGGAGCUUCCCAUACGGGUUGAAGCA